AUUGAACGCUGGCGGCAGGCCUAACACAUGCAAGUCGAGCGAGCGGCGGACGGGUGAGUAAUGUAUGGGGAACUGCCCGAUAGAGGGGGAUAACUACUGGAAACGGUGGCUAAUACCGCAUCCCAUCCGAGGAACCCAUCUGGGAUUAGCUAGUAGGUGGGGUAAAGGCUCACCGAGGCGACGAUCUCUCGCUGGUCUGAGAGGAUGAUCAGCCACAAUGGGACUGAGACACGGCCACAGCUCCUACGGGAGGCAGAAGUGGGGAAUAUUGCAGAAUGGGCGAAAGCCUGAUGCAGCCAUGCCGCGUGUAUGAAGAAGGACUUAGGGUUGUAGAGUACUUUCAGCGGGGAGGCGUUACAAGCAGAAGAAGCACCGGCUAACUCCGUGCCAGCCGCCGCGGUAAUAC
rnacentral:rRNA from 1 species